rnacentral:rRNA from 1 species
CAGCAGCCGCGGUAAAACGUUGGGUGCGAGCGUUAAUCGGAAUGACUGGGCGUAAAGGGCGCGUAGGCGGCGAUCAAAGUCAGGCGUGAAAUUCCUGGGCUCAACCUGGGGGCUGCGUUUGAUACUUGAUUGCUAGAAUGGGGAAGAGGGUCGUGGAAUUCCCAGUGUAGAGGUGAAAUUCGUAGAUAUUGGGAAGAACACCGGUGGCGAAGGCGGCGACCUGGUCCUUUACUGACGCUGAGGCGCGAAAGCGUGGGGAGCAAACAGGAUUAGAUACCCCAGUAGUCCCUGUCUCUUAUAU